rnacentral:rRNA from 1 species
AACGUAGGUUCCGAGCGUUAUCCGGAUUUACUGGGCGUAAAGCGCGUUCAGGCGGUUUGGCAAGUCGGGCAUGAAAUCCUUCGGCUCAACCGGGGGAGGUUGUCCGAUACUGCUGAACUGGAGGGCAGUAGAGGGUGGUAGAAUUCCGGGUGUAGUGGUGAAAUGCGUAGAGAUCCGGAGGAACACCAGUGGCGAAAGCGGCCACCUGGACUGCACCUGACGCUGAAACGCGAAAGCUAGGGGAGCGAACGGG